UACAGAGGGUGCAAGCGUUAAUCGGAGUUACUGGGCGUAAAGCGUGCGCAGGCGGUUCUAUAAGACAGAUGUGAAAUCCCCGGGCUCAACCUGGGAACUGCAUUUGUGACUGUAGAGCUGGAGUGCGGCAGAGGGGGAUGGAAUUCCGCGUGUAGCAGUGAAAUGCGUAGAUAUGCGGAGGAACACCGAUGGCGAAGGCAAUCCCCUGGGCCUGCACUGACGCUCAUGCACGAAAGCGUGGGGAGCAAACAGG
rnacentral:rRNA from 1 species